CAGCAAUCUCGACAGCUAAAAAUGCCCCAUGAAAUUCUUAAAGUUUGUCUUUUAUGAGGACUGAAAGCGAAGAAUAAAUCAAAACGCAAGAGGGGGGGAAACAAAUCGCGCGGAGGUGCAUCAGCCGCUGCAGACAUUUCCAGCAGUGCCUGCCCGCCUGCCUGGGCUCUGUCGUUCGGGAUCGCGAAGCGCGUCGGAGUCGGUGUCCGAGCCAAUCUAACCGUCAGGAGACAAGAGAGAGAAAGAGAACGAAAGAGGAAGCUGUCCAUUUGUUCAGAUACCCCCGCUGACACCUGCGUUUGGACCCCCGCAGUGUCUGAUGUGGAGCUGAAACACUGCAGUGAGCCUGGACACAUGAAGCUCAAGUUCCUACAGAUCUUAAUGGAAUGCAGCCAGAUAAAUUAUUAAUGUCAAGGUAGAGUUUGAACGUCAUCCUCUGAAGCCUGAAGCUAAU